rnacentral:rRNA from 1 species
GAUGGCUCACAAUCAGUUUGACCGGCGAACAUGUAUACCUGACCCACGGGGGCUGGCACGAUCCCGUGCUUCCCCUCGACAAACACGAACCCCGGCGCCCCGUGCGCCAAGGAAUCCAAAAUUGUUCAGUGCGGGCCCGGGGGAGUUGGAGACAACGUCCCGCGGGUCACGUCACCACACACGAAAGAGAAUGACUCUCGGCAAUGGAUAUCUCGGCUCUUGCAUCGAUGAAGAACGUAGCGAAAUGCGAUACUUGGUGUGAAUUGCAGAAUCCCGUGAACCAUCGAGUCUUUGAACGCAAGUUGCGCCCGAAGCCAUUAGGCCGAGGGCAUGCCUGCCUGGGUGUCACACAACGUUACCCCCCACGCCAAGGUCCACUGCUGGCCGGUGCGUGGUGUGUAUGCUGACCUCCCGCGAGCGGUGACCCGUGGUUGGUUGAAAACCGAGUUCUCGGUCGAGUGCGCCGUGAUGAAAUGGUGGACGGGCAAGGCCCGAGGCCAGUCACGCGCGAUCCUGUCCGGUGCGACCCUUGGACCCCUGCGGCGUCUUCGGACGC